UGAGAACGCAAACGGAAUUCAGGGGUGGCGCUAGGAUUUUUAAGGAUUUUUAAAGACAUAAGGAUUUUUAAACUAUUGAACUUGACUUCGUUCAACCGUAUGUCUUAUUGUUUAUAUCGUGUUUUUUAUCGUGUUGUUUUGAAAGGCCCCUCAUUCCAGUGCAGAUACUCCCCCCCCCCUGGCGGAGUGUUUUCGAACGAGGAGUCCAGGUUGCUGAGCCGCUCUCGUGGCAACGAUCAUGUAGUGAACGGUUCUGUCGAAAAUUUAAUUUUGAAUUUUAGACAAACAAAGUUCGUCGUGUGUCGCGGGAAUUGCCGCAAUGAUGAACAAACCAACUUCUUUCGAAAGAGGAACGUUCAUACUACAGCAUGAACUCCACCUUUGAAUUUACUAUAUGAGUAAAUUCUUAAACACGUCCGAAUUUAUCAUUAUGAUAAAUUCGCGGCAAAUUUUGAAUUUUUCAUAAUAAUAAAUUCGCGGCACCUAACACUAACCCUAACCUCAACCCCAACCAUAACCAUGCACUAAGCCCGAACCACU